UCAAUGGGAGGGAGGUUUGCAACCCUCUGUACAUCAGCCCCCUCUGAAUUUUGUGGGGGUGACAUAAAGCAGCUUCAUUUUGCCUCCAGAUGACAUGGAGCCACGACUAAGGCCUCACCCUCUGAUGCGAACUUUCCAGCAGGGGUCUGCCCGCCGCAGAGUCAGCAUUGCUGUCAUCCCCAAGCAGCUCUUGCCAGGUGCCAGCCCAGAGAGCCGAGCAGCCCCAGCUGGUGAGCUGGAGAGGGAGAAGGCCCACUGCCAGCACAGCACCGAGAGG